GAAUUUUGAUUUUUCUGGAGUAGCUAUAAAACAGGUCUUCAAUAACAAAAAUGCAAAUAUUAUUUUGGUAAGUGUUGAGUCCCAACAGGAAACAAAGGACACUCUAUCUAUUUAUAAAGACACCCUUGGUAAAGGUCUGUGUAGUAUGUUGGAGAUAUUAAUGAAUACAGCAAGAACCCUGGUCUAGCAGCAGUAGGGAUGCCCUCUAAUCCUAUCCCAGGAGAAUGAAAAGUGGAUAUUCUACUGGUGUAGAAAAGGAGAAAGAAUUGUGUAGGGCAAGUUGCCUAGGAGAACACAGUAAUCCUGAGACAACCUACCAGAACAUGGGACCUAAAUGAAUAAAUGCGUAAACUCACUUAUUCUUCUCUCCAAUCUUCUCCCAGUAUCCCCACUGGCUCAUCCAAGGAGCAUUCGUAUGUGUCAUUGGCUUGUUAAUAGAAUCUGGGAGAUCAACCUUUUGGGGCAGAGAGCAAAGUGGAAAAGGCUGAGAGUACAUCUGGAAGAGCAUAUGGCUGGUAUCUGGUUCAGGAAUUCAAUACAUCUAGCUUUCCAGUUCCUCUGUGGAAUACUUCAUCAUCUGGCAUAUGACCUCAGACCAUCUCCCAGCUUGUGGAUAGUCAAUCAUGCCAGAAAUUGUACACUCUAUCACUUCUAUCAAAACCUUUGA
rnacentral:lncRNA from 1 species